ACUCAAAUGAAUUGACGGGGGCCCGCACAAGCGGCGGAGCAUGUUGCUUAAUUCGAAGCAACGCGAAGAACCUUACCAAGGCUUGACAUGCAGGGAAAAGCCUCAGAGAUGGGGUGUCCGUAAGGGUCCUGCACAGGUGGUGCAUGGCUGUCGUCAGCUCGUGUCGUGAGAUGUUGGGUUAAGUCCCGCAACGAGCGCAACCCUCGUCCAAUGUUGCCAGCGGGUAAUGCCGGGGACUCAUUGGAGACUGCCGGGGUCAACUCGGAGGAAGGUGGGGAUGACGUCAAGUCCUCAUGCCCCUUAUGUCUUGGGCUGCAAACAUGCUACAAUGGCCAGUACAGAGGGCUGCGAGACCGCAAGGUGGAGCGAAUCUCAAAAAGCUGGUCUCAGUUCGGAUUGGGGUCUGCAACCCGACCCCAUGAAGUCGGAGUCGCUAGUAAUCGCGAAUCAGCAACGUCGCGGUGAAUACGUUCCCGGGCCUUGCACACACCGCCCGU
rnacentral:rRNA from 1 species